GGGAGGGAGGGAGGGGAAAAAAAGAAAAAAAAGAAAAGAAGAGAGUGAAGACUUUUGGACAAAAAUCCAAUUUCCCAAAAACCCUCUUCUCCUUUCAUAUCAUUCUUUCUUUCUCUAAGGGAUUUCAUCAAACCCAGAGGUUACCUUCCUAUCUAUACAUGGAUAAUUCACCAAUUUAUAUCUCUAGCUCAGAACUCUCAUCUUAGUUCCAGCAUUUUAUGACCAAAGAACUACUUUGGUAACCAUACUUGGAUAUUUCAAAAACACUUCAAACAUAGUAUGUCUCCGAUAAAACUCAUGAUCACCCCUACUACCUCGGAUAAACCAAAAUUGAUAUUCUGCUAACAUUCUCCAUGUCUCUAAACACCACAUUAUUUGUCUAUGAAAACCAGAAAUCUAGGAAUCCAUAUUAUUCCUUCUCCUUCAACGGCCAUGUCCAAUUGAUCUCUAAGACUCAUUUUACCUUCUACAUGUAUCUUGAACCUCUCAUUUCUCUUCAUCUUCCAGCAUCCUGUUCCACCUUAUCAGCAGCUCACAUCCGGGUCACUCUAGUAUCUAUUAACCAGUACUGGUCCUAAUUAAUUUCUUUUCCGUUUAGAGUAAUAUUUUUGAAAAGCAAAUCUGAUCAUACCACCUUCCUGCUUUAACGGCUUGUUGGUUUUAAAAUCUCCCAAAUUCUUUGACACUACUUCUUUCAAAAGGUGGAGCCUAAUUCCCCUCCCUUUGAGUGUUUGUAGGAAUGAUUGACUUAUUUCUAAUGAACAGAAUGUGAUGGAAGUGCUAUGUGGCUUCUAAGACUAGGUCUUUAAAAGAGUAGCUUUCUCUCUCUCUUCCUCUUUUCCUCUCAUCAUUGGCUCUGGAGAAGACAGUUGCCAUGGCAUGUAGCUCCUCAAGCAGCCCAGUAGAGAGGUUGACAUGAAGAGGGGCUGAGAUGUCCCACCAAGUACCAGUCUGCCAGCUACGUAGGUCAGCCGUUUUGGAAGUAGACCGUCAGCCCAGUCCAGGCUCCGGGUCACUGCCGAGCUUCAGCCCGCAUCUUGACUGCAACCUCAUGAGAGACCUGAGCCAGAACUGCCCAGCCAAGCUGCCCCUGGAUCCCUGAUCCACAGAAACUGUGAGUGUAGACUGUAAGCUCCAGGAGGCCUAUUUCCAUGGACUGUUUCUACUCACCACUGUGCAUGGCACGCAACAGGUUAAGCCAGCUGCCAGGGCUUCUGCGACCAACUCCGGCUCACAUUACCCUCGCGUGGAAAGAUGGGCCCGGCCCAAGCUGCAUUAUGAAAGCAGAGAACUCUCUCCCAGAUUAUGGCAAAAGAACUGGUUGCCGUACAUAUGGUGACCAGAGUUUUCAGCAAUCUUACUUUCGCUCCUCAAGAAAAUGAACAAAACAUGGCACAUAGUCAUGGCCAGAAUGGGUAAGAUUUUAACGACCUGCCAGUUGGAGGUAAUGGCUCAAAAAAAAAGAGGAAAUUUGACCAUUCUGAGUGAUACAUAAUUGUCAAGCUACUCAUUUUCCUAACAAAGUGGGAAAAUAAAAAUAGAGAUAACUCUUUAGUGAUACACGGGAUAAAAUGAUUGUUAGGGUAGGAUUUGAUUAACUGGAGAGACAUCCUCCCGCCAGCUAACCCACGGAGGGUUGUCAUUGGUCAAAAUAGAACUCAGAGCAUCCGUUUAUGGAAUCAGUGGGGGUGACUAAUACUGAAAAGACACUGCUGAUGAAAUCUGUUACUUUCUUCACUUGUUCACUCUUCUCCUUUGACCUUGAAGAUGUUCCUCAAAAUGAUGUUACCCCAAAGUAGAAACAAUCUUUUUAAAAUAAAACCUAAAUAACUGGAGUAAUAAAACAGGCUUCUGAACUAUACUUACAGAUGUUGGCCAAAAAUAAUCAAGGCCGAAGAGAUGAACUAUUAUGUCCAUUUACCUAAAAAAAUUUGAAACUUAAUAAUGGUUGAAUCAUUACACCAGAACCAGCAAAAGAAAAUAAAGCAAUCGAGUAACCUUCCCAUGCAGUGUGUUCUAAUAAUGUAUUGGUGAAGAAUAUUUUGCUUACAUUAAUCAUUAUAAUGGCAAUGAUUAGAAAUUCUGAUUCUUGCUCCUGAAAGAAGUGCUUUCCCAAAGAAAGCAUUUGGCCGUGCUAUCAGGUUGAUUUAAAAUCACUGAAUUAAGGCCACUGUUUUAUAGGUCAAGCCAUAUUUGAAUGGCUUAGAAUAACUUUCUUCUCUUUUGCUACCAUAAUUGAAUACAAAGUGGGUAAGGCCCUUAUGCUGAUUUUAUUUUCAAACACAUGCAAUAGCUACUGAGAUUGCAAUAGGAUCCCUCUGUUUUUUAUUUUGACAGCAUAACAUGACACCCUUGAGAGCUGAGCUUUUCAGGUGUUAAAGAGGAUUUGCUAUAAGAAAAUGAUCAUAAUAGGAUUUAAUGUGAUUGAAAGUCAAGGUACAGUAGCCAUACAGUGUAUCAGAGAGAGUGUCAAAACUUGCAGUGAGGGCGGAGUGCCUUUUGCUAAGUAAACAAUAAAAACAGAGAGAGAAGAAAAUAUUUUAUGCACAACAGGAUCUACAAGGUUGGCCAACCUGAUAAGCCUGCCCCAACACAGUGGGUAUCUAACCCUACAGUAUGUCCUUGGCAAGAGGGGCAAUGAAUAGCUGCAACGUUUCCACCGGACAAGAGUGUUUUGAAAACAAGUUAUAUAAUAACCUGAAUUCUUGUCUAGAACUUGACAGGCAAUAACCCCACAGGUCCUCUGAGCCUCCCAGAGGGAAAGGCCCAUCCCUGAGUCACUGCUCUGGCCCUUCCAGUCCCAGCACCCAGUAUCACUCUAACUCUUUUCACGUCUUCACUGAAUCUGCUGAUAUGGGUGGGUGUGAGCACUGCACACACAUGUGCACCAAGCAGGAACUGACUGACUCCCUGAGUGUUUCUCCCUUUUAGUUGACAAUGCCAUGCUCUCAAAAGACAACCAUCCUCCAAAUCCCAGGCAUUAGUCUAGCAAUAUGUUUAUCAAACCCUGGAACGUUUUUCUGUGGAAACAGGCCUAUGAAGAAUUCAGGCAUCUUAACUGCUUCAGGCAUCAGAAGAUAAUCAUAAGCUCUCAAGAUCAGAAACUGGUGGCAGCAAGCAGAGGUGGGAGAGUAACAGCUGAAAGGUAGUUCUCCUCUACCAUUACAGGGCUUUCUCACCCUAAAUUUGUUUUCCUGUCACUGCAGGAUGCCAUUAGACCAUCUUGACCGUAACUAUUAGUUAGUAUAUUUUGGGUGGUUUUGCCUGGCUACCUAUGACUCUGGAUGGGCAGAAGCAGGACCUGAAAUGUAAAGCCUAUUCAUCUGAAACAAACAGCUGGAGAACAUUCUUUCCAAUCAUUACUGCUAGUUCUGUACAUCCCAUUAACAGCCCUUGGAGAAGAGAGACAUGAGUGCAGGCAAGACCAGGAACUUAGUAUCAUUGCUAUUAGCAUAAUAUUAUGUAUGUGUAUUCUGUAUUUCUCAAGCAUGAAAGUGAUUUAUGAAAUGACACAUGACAGCAAAUGACAAGCGUGGACUUGUGAGUCAAGUCUUUUGAGGUGCUUUUUAUCACAUUUGAGUGCAUUGCUACCUGCAUUCGCAAGAUCUGUUAAAAAUACAAACAUCACUAUAUUAUUUUUUAACUAUGAAGUUUUUUUCUUCUAAUUUUUGAUG